rnacentral:rRNA from 1 species
UGAGUGCGAGCGGCUACGGCCGCGAAGUGGGUGAUGUCAAGCUUCCAAGAAAAGCCCUAUACCCGUUAAGGCAUGAUGGCCUGUACCCGAAACCGACACAGGUGGGGUGGUAGAGAAUACCGAGGGGCGCGAGGUAACUCUCUCUAAGGAACUCGGCAAAAUGGCCCCGUAACUUCGGGAGAAGGGGUGCCACCGCAAGGUGGUCGCAGUGAAGAGGCCCAGGCGACUGUUUACCAAAAACACAGGUCUCCGCUAAGUCGCAAGACGAUGUAUGGGGGCUGACGCCUGCCCAGUGCCGGAAGGUUAAGGAAGCUGGUCAGCGCAAGCGAAGCUGGCGACUGAAGCCCCGGUGAACGGCGGCCGUAACAAUAACGGUCCUAAGGUAGCGAAAUUCCUUGUCGGGUAAGUUCCGACCCGCACGAAAGGCGUAACGAUCUGGGCGCUGUCUCGGAGAGAGGCUCGGCGAAAUAGAAUUGUCUGUGAAGAUGCGGACUACGUGCACCCGGACAGAAAGACCCUAUGAAGCUUUACUGUAGCUUGGUAUUGUGCCCGGGCUCUGAAUGCGCAGGAUAGGUGGGAGGCUUUGAUCCAUGGCUUGCGGGUCAUGGUGAGCCAGCGGUGAGAUACCACUCUUUCAGAGCUAGGGUUCUAACGGUCACCCGUCAUCCGGGGACCGGACAGUAUCAGGUGGGCAGUUUGACUGGGGCGGUCGCCUCCUAAAAGGUAACGGAGGCGCGCAAAGGUUUGCUCAGGCUGGUUGGAAAUCAGCCGACGAGUGCAAAAGCAGAAGCAAGCUUGACUGUGAGACCUACAAGUCGAACAGGGACGAAAGUCGGCUUUAGUGAUCCGACGGUUCUGAGUGGAAGGGCCGUCGCUCAACGGAUAAAAGUUACUCUAAGGAUAACAGGCUGAUCUCCCCCAAGAGUUCACAUCGACGGGGAGGUUUGGCACCUCGAUGUCGGCUCAUCGCAACCUGGGGCUGAAGUCGGUCCCAAGGGUUGGGCUGUUCGCCCAUUAAAGCGGUACGCGAGCUGGGUUCAGAACGUCGUGAGACAGUUCGGUCCAUAUCCGGUGCACGCGCAGGAACAUUGAGAGGAUUUCUCCCUAGUACGAGAGGACCGGGAGGAACGCACCUCUGGUGUGCCAGUUAUCGUGCCAACGGUAAACGCUGGGUAGCCAUGUGCGGAGUGGAUAACCGCUGAAAGCAUCUAAGUGGGAAGCCCACCUCAAGAUGAGUGUUCCCAUGGCAUAAGCCAGUAAGGUCACGGGAAGAACACCCGUUGAUAGGCUCUACGUGGAAGCCGGGUAACCGGUGAAGCGGAGGAGUACUAAUAGACCGAGGGCUUGACC